GUCAGCCCAGGAUAACACCUGACGCACGACAGGUCCAUAAUACAGCAUUCCAGGUACAAAAAUAUUCAUCAAAUACAUGUAUAUGAGAUUACAUCAUUGAUGAAUACAAUUAUCUAGCAUAGCCCUAAGGCUAUUAAAUGACAGCGGAAGUCUGAUAAAAAUGGCGGGGGAAGUCUUGGUUUGGCAACAUAACAACUCUGGCUGGGCUCCACAACUCACAGGACUGGCAAGGUUACGGCCUAGCACGACGGAUCAAGCGAACAAUUCGGGUAUGACCUACAAAACUGGCAUGACACGCCAGGUCAGUACAUUGAAUGUACUUGCAAGACCACCAAAUACAUAUCAUCCAAACAAGCAGAAGACAGAGCGAGAACCACGCGUAUGCAACAACCUAUCUCAUAUCAAUUACUAAACAUGGCAUGAUAAAAAUUUAACUAAGCAUGAACAAAAUCAUAACAUCUACUAACAUGGCAAUGGCAUGGCAUAUCAGAUCAUGCUUCUAACAUGGCAAUGGCAAAGCAUAUCAUCUCAAUCAUGGCAUAAUUUAACAUGUCAAUCAAAGCAUAGCAUGGCAUCAAGAAACUAUGCUGAAAAUAAACUACCAAUAAUAUCCAAUGCAGACAUAGCAUGUUAACAUUAUGCAAUCAUCUUCUGUUCUAUCAUGGUUCUUUAAAUGCAAAUAAUGAUAUAUUAUUCCAACAAUGCAACCAAACUUGUGCACCGAGUCCCUCGGACUCUCUUAUCAACUGUGAUCAUCUUUGGAUCACAAACACACCACCAAAGUGGUCUUUCUCAAGAACAACUCGUGAUCCUUACGGAGAUCACAACCACGACCAACACUUGGUCUCCAACCGUGAUCCUUACGGCGAUCACAACCACGACCAAUAUUUGGCCCGUGGUCCUUACGGCGAUCACAACCACUUAUCUCAUCAUCAAAAUAUCGUCGUGACUCCUCACGACUAUCUCAUAGUUCAAGUUACCAUAUUCUUGUUAUCACAUAUUUAUUUACCAACUUAAUUAUUUCGGUUUGUCCUCCAUUUCGACCAAGACCUGAUAGUGGGACCUACUAUGAACUGUUGCUAUCGGUAGACUUUAUAUACACUCUGCAGACGUAGCACACUGUACCCACACCACGGAACCCAUGGCCUCGUCAUCCCAUUCGGGUGGACCAACGGCAUUCUGACGAAACCAACCUACUGCCAUGACGCUCUCCCGGCCACUCCGACCCAAUCCCCAACGGGCUGGUCCUGGGUGGCCCCGUAUCUACCAAAGACACCCCGACCACCGUCGUGGUCAACUCCCACUCGGGGACACUCCCACUCGGGGACUGGUACCAAAAAUCUCAAAAACGAGCACACAAGGUUAUGUCCGCUUACCUGAUCAGGGUAAGCACGCCCAUAACCUUCCCUAGUGGGAGGCACCGACGAGAGGUCACGACAAUAGCUCGCAUUAAGGCCUUCCCACAAAGGCAAAUGUGGCUGCACUGAAAAAGUUCGAUUUGGUGGCACUAUGACUCGAUCCCAUCGAUGACGGAGGAGGUUUUUUAUUAUUAAGUCAUUUUAAUUCCUUCUCCAUCAUCAUUAACAUGAAUGCAACAAUGAGCAUGCAGCAUACGAUUGCAUGAACAAAAUAUUGAACUACUCAAGUGCACAGCUAUAGCAUAAAGAACAUGAUAAUACCAAGUAAUAGCAUAUCAACAGUGCAUUACAAUCCUCAUAAAAUUGUAUAACGAUGACAUGCAAAUAAAGUAGAGUAGUGACAUGGCAUUAUCAAUAACAACAUUUUAAUUAGCAUGGCAAAAGAUAUCAUGAAAACACAAGCAUGCAUAACAGGCAUAAUAACUGCAGACGAAAAUGAUGUGAAACAACUGCAACUACACACACAAGGUGCAAGCAAAGUCAACAUGCAAGUUCGGGGCUCAUGAUAAGAGGUUGGCUUGCCUGGGGGUCGGCAAAUACUCCGGGAAGAAGUGCGAAACGAUCGCGGAAAGAUUUGCCGGAAACAGUUCUCUCUCGGAGGAGGCUGUUUACGGUCAAGGGCAAAAUGGUCAUUUUCACUGUGUGAAAAUAUAAUUAAAAUGAUACCAAUGGAAAGAGAUCGACGAACAGAGAACGUGAGCGCUGGGAUCACCUUAUUCGGAGUUACGGGUAAAAAGAUAUGGAUGUUUAAAGCUCAGGGGACUAGUCUGUAAAAAUACUUCUACAAACAGGUCCCUGGUAGUUUAAACAGAACGUGUCUUUUCUGAAAAUACGUUUUCCAGAGAGGGAAACGUAUUCCCGGCCGAAGGAGAGGAAAAAAUGCGCUUUCUGAGAUUGAAAGCGCACUUUCCAGAAACGCGCUUUCGCGCGGGGAAAGCGGCGUCGCGGCGGGGGCGCCGCCACUUACCUGACGUGGCA
rnacentral:lncRNA from 1 species